rnacentral:rRNA from 1 species
UACGAAGGGGGCUAGCGUUGUUCGGAUUUACUGGGCGUAAAGCGCACGUAGGCGGAUUGUUAAGUCGGGGGUGAAAUCCUGGAGCUCAACUUCAGAAUUGCCUUCGAUACUGGUUUUCUAGAGGCUGGAAGAGGUUAGUGGAAUUCCCAGUGUAGAGGUGAAAUUCGUAGAUAUUGGGAAGAACACCAGUGGCGAAGGCGGCUAACUGGUCCAGAUCUGACGCUGAGGUGCGAAAGCGUGGGGAGCAAACAGG